GCCCAGCUUGCUGGGUGGAUUAGUGGCGAACGGGUGAGUAACACGUGAGUAACCUGCCCCUGACUCUGGGAUAAGCGUUGGAAACGACGUCUAAUACUGGAUAUGAUCACUGGCCGCAUGGUCUGGUGGUGGAAAGAUUUUUUGGUUGGGGAUGGACUCGCGGCCUAUCAGCUUGUUGGUGAGGUAAUGGCUCACCAAGGCGACGACGGGUAGCCGGCCUGAGAGGGUGACCGGCCACACUGGGACUGAGACACGGCCCAGACUCCUACGGGAGGCAGCAGUGGGGAAUAUUGCACAAUGGGCGAAAGCCUGAUGCAGCAACGCCGCGUGAGGGAUGACGGCCUUCGGGUUGUAAACCUCUUUUAGUAGGGAAGAAGCGAAAGUGACGGUACCUGCAGAAAAAGCACCGGCUAACUACGUGCCAGCAGCCGCGGUAAUACGUAGGGUGCAAGCGUUGUCCGGAAUUAUUGGGCGUAAAGAGCUCGUAGGCGGUUUGUCGCGUCUGCUGUGAAAUCCCGAGGCUCAACCUCGGGCUUGCAGUGGGUACGGGCAGACUAGAGUGCGGUAGGGGAGAUUGGAAUUCCUGGUGUAGCGGUGGAAUGCGCAGAUAUCAGGAGGAACACCGAUGGCGAAGGCAGAUCUCUGGGCCGUAACUGACGCUGAGGAGCGAAAGCAUGGGGAGCGAACAGGAUUAGAUACCCUGGUAGUCCAUGCCGUAAACGUUGGGCGCUAGAUGUAGGGACCUUUCCACGGUUUCUGUGUCGUAGCUAACGCAUUAAGCGCCCCGCCUGGGGAGUACGGCCGCAAGGCUAAAACUCAAAGGAAUUGACGGGGGCCCGCACAAGCGGCGGAGCAUGCGGAUUAAUUCGAUGCAACGCGAAGAACCUUACCAAGGCUUGACAUACACCGGAAACGGCCAGAGAUGGUCGCCCCCUUGUGGUCGGUGUACAGGUGGUGCAUG
rnacentral:rRNA from 1 species